rnacentral:rRNA from 1 species
UACGUAGGGUGCAAGCGUUGUCCGGAAUUAUUGGGCGUAAAGAGCUCGUAGGCGGUCUGUCGCGUCGGCUGUGAAAACCCGGAGCUCAACUCCGGGCCUGCAGUCGAUACGGGCAAACUGGAGUACUGCAGGGGAGACUGGAAUUCCUGGUGUAGCGGUGAAAUGCGCAGAUAUCAGGAGGAACACCAAUGGCGAAGGCAGCUCGCUGGGACGUGACUGACGCUGGAGACGCGAAAGCGUGGGGAGCGAACAGG